rnacentral:lncRNA from 1 species
AUGUAACAGGUAUGAAUUCAUAACUUCUAUCAAUUCACCAAACACCAGGACUGCACCAAAAGCACCCAAAACUCAGACUCAUUAAUUCACCAAGUAAUUUUUAUUAACCAAUGGAUGAUACAAACUGUGAUAUUUACAGGUGAACUAUCACAUUCUAACAACAUUAGAUGAACACUCAGAGUCCAACUUUUAGCUUAUAUGGCCUGCCCGGUCUUUAUAUUUGUGGAUGAGAAAGCAAGGAAAGAGAUGGAAAUGAAAAUGAAGAUAGGAACAGGUGAUAUGGAAGAAAAAAAAUCAUCUAUCAAAUAAAAUCUUAUCAUAUGUGUCAUUAGAAACAUGUAAAACCCAGAAAUGACUGAAUAAAAAAACCACAAAAUCCAGACCUAGUUUCCCAAAUGUUUUCAAUACAAAAAUCCACAUUUUCACUUGAUUUAUGUUCAGCACCUAUUUAAACAUUUUGGGUGCACCAAAAAACACCUACAUCGCUUUACGAAUAUUUCUUCCUUCCUAACCAAAUAUCACCAUUCAAUUAUAGCUAACCAUUCAAUUAUAGCUAUAGUAAAAUUCAUUGGAACAUUUUGUCAAAUACUAAGUAUGCACAUAAACCCGUCAAAACCCCAGUCUCAAACUUUCAAAUACCCUUAAAAUUUGCAAGAAAAAAUUAACCUAAAAAAGAAUAAUACUUACAUUACAAUGGCAGAUUCUAAAAAGUAGUAGAGAUACUCAAUUUCCGAUGCUAUCCAAUCCCACCAUUCUUACUUCUGAAUUAUUAUUUAUAUUUAUUUUUUUGCUUCCAAGUUAUUUUGACAAAGCUGAUGAAAAAGAAUUCGUCAUCUAUAUAUCUAUAUAAUAGCUAGACCCAAUGGGUCCCACACUCUCUCUCCUAUGUGGCAUUUUAUAUGAUCAUCAAGUUCUCACAAAUUUUCUCCUAUAAAACAAAUUAAAAAAAAAAAAAAAAAAAAAAAAAAAAAUUAUACUAAUUGGUUCUAUAACUAAAUUUUCCCCAUUUCCCAAUAAACCCAAAAAAUUUCUACCCACUUUCUCUACUCUCCUAAUAAAAUAUAAACACAAAUAUUUCAAUAAAAUUUAAAUCAAAACAACAAAUAUAUUCAAAACACAAAUUAAUCAAAUAUAACCAAACAUAAUAAUUUAUUAUAUAUACAUAUAAAUAAAAAAAUAGUACAAAUAACUUUGAUAUUAUAUAAAUUUAAAACUUAUAAAAAAUUUCUCAUGCAAAAUCUCCAAUCCCGGUGUGUAACACGGGGUCCACAGCUAGUAAGUACUUUAAUAUUCUAAGACUUUUCGAAUUAACUUGCCAUGAAUCUGUGCUCUUUUCUCCACCUAGAUCUCUUCAAAUCCUAUUGAAGAUAUGUUGUUACUAGCGUAAUGUCACACAAAUUGAAAGGCUCGAGACAAUUAAAUUGCUCAAUACAUUCCAAUACCACCCAAUCCCAUCAGUUCUAAACUUUUUCUUCCCCACUUCAAUUACCCACAUUCCACUCAGAUUGGCCGCAUAGCUAGCUAGUGUUCCUUUGAAAGUUUCCAAUCU